UUUUAAUAUGCUGCCUAGGUCGGUCAUAUGUGAACUGCUCACUUAGGUUCAUUUCUGAUUUGAGCCUCUAGGGGAAGAGGCGUGGCCCUGAGUUACAGGUUAGCUCUGGGGUAUGGCAGGGGCAGUGACCUCUCAGAGGGAGAGCCCCUCUGGAGAGCCCCUCGCCCUCUCAUCCACACUCAGACCAGACAGCCCUCCGCCUGCCCCGCCCCGGCCAUGAGCCUCUGCCUCCUGGGUUGUGUGGUCUUCUGUCUCCUGCAGGCAGGGGCGGUCCAUGCUGGGGUCACUCAGGACCCCAGAUUCCAGGUCGUGAGGACAGGACAGAACACGACACUGACAUGUACUCAGAAUCUGGGUCAUAACUACAUGUGCUGGUACCGACAAGACCCGGGACACGGGCUGAGGCUGAUCCAUUACUCAGCUCGACCUUCCAGCACGGAGAAAGGAGACGUGCCCGACGGGUACAGCGUCUCCAGAUCAAGCAAAGAUAGCUUUCCUCUCACGCUGGAGUCUGCCAACCACUCCCAGACAUCUGUGUACUUCUGUGCCAGCAGUUACUCACAGCGCUGCAUGGCCACCUGCUCCCUGUGCAAAAAGACAGGGUCCCACGUGCAGGCACCUAGCACCAGGAGCCUCAGAGCCCUGGGACCAGGUGCCAGCACUGUGACCCCAGAUGUGUGAUAUGAACAGGCCUGGAUCUGACCCCAGGGACUCGGAGACACAUGUCCACCAUCAAUCUCUGUCUUUCCUUUGCAUCCUCCCUGGAUGCAGUUUGAAAAGCAUCCAGUUCUGACUAGUUCUGACUCUUCCUCAUCAGCUUAAGACCUCCAGAAGGGCAAAAUAUUAGUAAAUCAGAUAUAUCUAGACCCUCUUGUCUCUUCCAGCACUUCAUUGCUGUCUGUCUGGAAGCUUCUCCCACAGCCUAGCUCUCAAGUGCCCCCUGCUCUUGCCCACCAGAGGGGCGGGUCUUUCCCCCUUUACUGCCUUGGCCUCAGCUCCCCUGCCCUCUCUGCUCCAGACACAC